AGUGAACGCUGGCGGCAGGCCUAACACAUGCAAGUCGAACGGCAGCACAGAGGAGCUUGCUCCUUGGGUGGCGAGUGGCGGACGGGUGAGGAAUGCAUCGGAAUCUGCCUAUUUGUGGGGGAUAACGUAGGGAAACUUACGCUAGUACCGCAUACGUCCUACGGGAGAAAGUGGGGGACCGCAAGGCCUCACGCAGAUAGAUGAGCCGAUGCCGGAUUAGCUAGUUGGCGGGGUAAAGGCCCACCAAGGCGACGAUCCGUAGCUGGUCUGAGAGGAUGAUCAGCCACACUGGAACUGAGACACGGUCCAGACUCCUACGGGAGGCAGCAGUGGGGAAUAUUGGACAAUGGGCGCAAGCCUGAUCCAGCCAUGCCGCGUGUGUGAAGAAGGCCUUCGGGUUGUAAAGCACUUUUGUCCGGAAAGAAAAGCAUUCGAUUAAUACUCGGGUGUUAUGACGGUACCGGAAGAAUAAGCACCGGCUAACUUCGUGCCAGCAGCCGCGGUAACAC
rnacentral:rRNA from 1 species